GCCAACCUAGCUCAGUUGGUAGAGCAACGCAUUCGUAAUGCGUGGGUCGUGGGUUCAACUCCCAUGGUUGGCU
rnacentral:tRNA from 4 species